rnacentral:rRNA from 1 species
UACGUAGGAUGCAAGCGUUGUCCGGAUUUACUGGGCGUAAAGCGCGCGCAGGCGGCAGUGUAAGUAAGGUGUGAAAUAUCCCGGCUCAACCGGGAGGGUGCACUUUAGACUACACAGCUUGAGGUCGGUAGAGGGGGGGUAGAAUUGCUGGUGUAGCGGUGAAAUGCGUAGAGAUCAGCAGGAAUACCCGUGGCGAAGGCGGCCCCCUGGGCCGUACCUGACGCUGAGGCGCGAAGGCUAGGGGAGCGAACGGG